UACGUAGGGGGCUAGCGUUGUCCGGAAUCAUUGGGCGUAAAGCGCGUGUAGGCGGUCCGGUAAGUCCGCUGUGAAAGUCGGGGGCUCAACCCCGGAAUGUCUCUCGAAACUGUCGAGCUAGAGUGCAGAAGAGGCAACUGGAAUUCCCAGUGUAGCGGUGAAAUGCGUAGAUAUUGGGAAGAACACCUGAGGCGAAGGCGGGUUGCUGGGCUGACACUGACGCUGAGGCGCGAAAGCCAGGGGAGCGAACGGG
rnacentral:rRNA from 1 species